GCGGAAGUGGCGGAAUCGGGAGACGCGCCAGGUUCAGGACCUGGUGGGCGAUAAGCCCAUGUGGGUUCGAGUCCCACCUUCCGCA
rnacentral:tRNA from 1 species